ACUCUUACAAUUUGCGUUUACUGUAGUGAGUCAGAACUCUGUUUUAAAAUUAAUUAUGGUCUCUUGGAAGUUGUUGGUGAACACGUGUUUAGUACGUUUGGUAAAAAAUAAAUACCAUAUCCCAGAAUUUCAAGUCCAAUCGAACUCCUAAGCGCUAGAAUUGUGCAAUUGCAAAAGUGGAUCAUUCAUAAAUAAUAUUUAUUUUUAGUUUAACAUAUUAUAUACUAUAUUAUCGUAUAACUGUUACAUUUCACUAUAAAUGUUGAAUUCUAUAAUCAGCAAAUGAUGUCUGUGUAUAAGUUAUUUACCAAAAAGUUCAUUGACAAUUUUAUCGACAGGUGCCCUGAUAGUCUACUUUGAGGUCACGAAUUUCUUAUUUAUUACAUUAUUAGCUUACCCUAAAUAUCGAUAAGUAAUCUUAAUCUCGAAUCGAUUAAAAUGUUGAGUCUUUUUAAAACUAACACAGAACUUAUUUUGAUUUCUUAUUUAUUGACAUGUAUUACGACGACCGACAGUUAAUUUCCAAAAAAAAAAAAAAAACAAUAUUAUUGCAAAAUAUGUGGAGAAACUAAACAGUCAUUAAUAUGUAUAUGAUUGAUGGAUCUAUUUUUUUUAUUUUUGCAUUAUCGUGUGUGCGAACUCACGGCCUACAUAGCGUUAUAUGUUUACCGAAGCUAAUAGAUAUCACAACGUGCAUACCGCCACCCACCUUGAGAUUUGAGGUCUAGAGACAUCAAAUAAGUAAUGAAGAUAUUAUAGUACUUGCCUGCGGGAUUUGAAUACUGGCGUAAUCUCAUAUCUCGAUACGACAUUUUUUAAUAUACGUAUCGAGCGACAACAACUUACAGUAACGUAAGUCCAAGUACACUGAGCGUCUUAUCCUUAAAGCCACAAUGAUUAAUAAAGAAAGUAAUUCAAUCAAUUAACAAUUUACGUACAGCGGUUUUAUCUGAACGUGCAUAUACGCCAGACCAGAUCUCCGAGCAAACCAGCGGACCACUUAGCGCUGCACUACACCGGAACCGAUGAAAGCUGGCAGUCGACAAGCUGAAACGGAGUCACGAUCCUCAAUAAUGAGGGAGCGAUGGAGAAGAAGAAGAAAUUAUCAGCUUAUAGUUCCAACAGUACCAGUAAUCCUAGUUUGGGGCCAAAUGACUGUGUGAUUGGUACUCGAUAUGUUUAUCGUUUUUAUUAUAAAUAUUUUACUGGUGGUAGGACCUCUUGUGAGUCCGCACGGGUAGGUACCACCGCCCCGCCUAUUUUCUGCCGUGAAGCAGUAAUGCGUUUCGGUUUGAAGGGUGGGGCAGCCGUUGUGACUAUACUGAGACCUUAGAACUAUAUCUCAAGGUGUGUGGCGCAUUUACGUUGUAGAUGUCUAUGGGCUUCAGUAACCACUUAAUACCAGGUGGGCUGUGAGCUUCGUCUACCUACAUAAGCAAUAAAAAAAAUAAAAAAAUAACAUAAAUAACUUCCUUCGUUUCAGGUAUAGAACAAAACCUUUCAUCUUUUUGACUGAAGUCUGGCUACUGGCAGUAAUGGCCAGUACCGGCUCCCGCUGGUAGGUACCACCAUCCCAUCCAUUUCUACUCCGGAGCAUUGUUGCAUUUCAGUUUAAAAGUGUGAUCGCUGUAUUUAAAUGCAAUAGACUUCGACCUUUCAUCUCAAAUCCGGUGACUAGUGUAUGCCAAGCGAACUGUGGAGCUGAUAGGCCGGCUUAUAGCACUAUGAAACACUACUUAUGGAUUGGCAAACACUUGAAAACUAUCAGCCUUGAGAAGCUAUUUCAGCGUAACCUUAACUAGUAGGUGCGCUCACGGGACUCAAACCUGACGACGUUGCUAACACGAAACCUAGCAAGAGCCGUGCUUCGCAGAAUGUACCACCGGAUCGGAAACGCGACCCACUGAGAAGAUCCGGCAAGAAACUCAGUGGGCUUUUUCUGUGGGUUAAUUUACUCGUCGAGCCCUUCGUCGCAAGCGACGGGUUCGACGAGAACGAUGACCGGUGCUUGAGGUACCUAAAAGCACCGUUAGUGGAUCAGGAGGAUCCGAAAUGACGUGUUUUGGGCGACGUCGACUGCUUUCCAUUCUGUCCGCAGGAUCGGGAAUGUCAGAGAAGGGAAUAAUAAGAUUGGUAAUUAUAGUAUUCCAAAUUAGCCGAGCGCAUAGAUAUACCGGCUUCUUCGGAGUUACCGAGCCUCGUAAUUGUGAGAAUAAAAAUAUUAUCAUAGCUAUUUGCUAGCAUAGUUAAACGGUUUUAAAAUCAAUAAAACGUUUGAAUGAUAUGACCUUAAAGCCGUAAAAACACAGUAAAACAUGCUAAGUGAUUGCCUACAUCGUUUUUUUUUUACAAAAACAUUCCGAAGAACGUCUUUAUCGUUGGACAGAUUAGCUACCAAAAUUAGUUUGUUGUGGGUAGUUUAAACAAGGGAACGGAAGGCGAGGGGCAUCGGGCGUCGAGCGCGAAAGGAGUAGAACGCAAAUAGCCGCGUGACCCGGCCAUUGACUCGGUUUAUCCUAAUCCGUCCCACUACUCCAGUUCAGUCCCCGAUACGCGAGACAAGUCGAACCGACCUCCCGGUACGCUAAUUUUCCAAUUCACACAACUAGUGGUCCCGCAGUAGUCGAAAUUCGACUAUAAUUAAUCGAAAUUUUAUUUGUAAACAUUAUUAUGGUUCUAUUGUCAAACAUACUUCUUUAAUAUAAGCACAAAUUUCGCCAAAACUAUACUAUAGAUAAAUAGUAUUAAAGACAAACAAUAUUAAUUUAAUAUCAAUUUGACUUGCAACAAUAACAAAAGUUUGACAUAAACGUAAAGUAUAUGUGUGUGUAUAUGUGUUGUGUCAAAUACAUGGUAGUGUGUGUAA